rnacentral:rRNA from 1 species
CCCUAUUAUUUUGGAAUGUUAAAUUUUUGUGCCUGAGUAGUAUUAGUUAUGUUCUUGAAACUUAAAGAAUUUGGCGGUAUCUCAUUCCGUCCAGAGGAAUCUGUCUCGUUAUCGAUAGUCCACGUUGGACCUUACUUAGUUGAUUAUGGUUUGUAUACCGCCGUUUAUUGAUUAUCUUUUUAGAGGUUAUGUUAAUUUUCUAGUUUCUUUAUUUUGAUGUAUUUCAGGUCAAGGUGCAGCUUGUUUCUAAGUGUAAAUGAUGGAUUACAUUGUUAUUUGUUUUUGUGGAUUGUUGAUUUUAAUAUUAACAUGAAAUUGGAUUUGGUUGUAAUGAUUUGUAGAUUGUUAUUAUGAUAAUUGGUUCUGAGAUAUGCACACAUCGCCCGUCGCUCUCGUUUAGUUUAUACAAUGAGAUAAGUC